GUUGCAUUGAUUGAAGACGCCUCACUGCAGCGUGAGACUAAGUUCCAUCAAUGGCUCCUCUGCAAAGGAGAAAAUUCACAAUGGUGGCAUUUUCAAUAUGAGGGUGAUUCCAGAAUUGGAAGACAUUUUCUCUCUCCCUCCAUAAAAUUUCAAAUAAUCCAUGCACAAAAUACAAACAUGUAUUUGUUGUGUAAAUUACACCUGGCCUGAGAGAAAAUGUAUGUAAAGAUUCAUAAAUGUUAUUUGUAAUAUCAUAUUGCUAUUGAGCACCCCAGAAAAUUGACUUUUUUGUUCUUCUUUCUUGUCCUUCCCUCUUAAUGAUCAACUUACAUCAAAUACAACACAUAAACUAUGUUUUGAAUCAGGUUUUUGGUGGGAUGUCUUCCGUGUAAGUUUAAAACGUUUUGUUUUGUUGAAAACAUAUCUUAAAUUGAAGUAAUUAUACUUUGAAGUUGUAUCCCUCAACAUACACGUAGCCCUGUUACCGAAACUUUAUUAGCCAUCUAGAGGAAGAGAAAAAUAGUGAGCAGCAUAACUCAGCAGAACUGACAUCAUCACGCUAAUUGCUCUGACCAUGGGUAGACCUGCUAAAACGUUCUUCCUGAUGUUUGUGAAACAAAGGAAUGAGGCUGAAGACAAGCACUGCUUCAUGGUGGUCCACUGCCCCCUGAUGGCAGAGUUCAAGAUGUUUGGUGGAUGCUGGCUGGCUGCUUUCAGAAUUUCAAAGUGAACCCCUUGUGACUGUGAGAAUUGCGUGGGAUGACAUUAUAAAGCAUCACAGCAACCCCAGAUGUCAUACCUACCGAACAGCAGUCAG